ACGGAGUAGCAGGACAACGGUAG
rnacentral:misc_RNA from 1 species